rnacentral:rRNA from 1 species
UACAGAGGUCUCGAGCGUUAGGCGGAAUCACUGGGCUUAAAGCGUGUGUAGGCGGAUCGGUAAGUACCUUGUGAAAUCCCACAGCUUAACUGUGGAACUGCUUGGUAUACUGCCAGUCUUGAGCCAGCUAGGGGCUACCGGAACAAAUGGUGGAGCGGUGAAAUGCGUAGAUAUCAUUUGGAACGCCAUUGGUGAAAACAGGUAGCUGGGGCUGUGCUGACACUGAGACACGAAAGCCAGGGGAGCAAACGGG